UACAGAGGGUGCGAGCGUUAAUCGGAAUUACUGGGCGUAAAGCGCGUGUAGGCGGGAAGAUAAGUCGGGUGUGAAAUCCCUGGGCUCAACCUAGGAACUGCAUCCGAAACUGCCUUUCUGGAGUGAUGGAGAGGAAAGCGGAAUUCCCGGUGUAGAGGUGAAAUUCGUAGAUAUCGGGAGGAACACCAGUGGCGAAGGCGGCUUUCUGGCCAUCAACUGACGCUGAGACGCGAAAGCGUGGGGAGCAAACAGG
rnacentral:rRNA from 1 species